rnacentral:rRNA from 1 species
GACGAACCGUGCGAACGUUGUUCGGAAUCACUGGGCUUAAAGGGCGCGUAGGCGGCUCACCAAGUCGGGGGUGAAAUACUUCAGCUUAACUGGAGAAGUGCCUUCGAUACUGGUGGGCUUGAGGGAGGUAGGGGUCUGUGGAACUUCUGGUGGAGCGGUGAAAUGCGCAGAUAUCAGGAGGAACACCAAUGGCGAAGGCAGCUCGCUGGGACGGUACUGACGCUGAGGCGCGAAAGCGUGGGGAGCAAACAGG